rnacentral:rRNA from 1 species
AGAGAGCUUGCUUUCUCGAGCGAGUGGCGAACGGGUGAGUAACGCGUGAGGAACCUGCCUCAAAGAGGGGGACAACAGUUGGAAACGACUGCUAAUACCGCAUAAGCCCACGGUGUCGCAUGGCAUUUAUAUCAAAGAUUUAUCGCUUAAAGAUGGGCUCGCGUCUGAUUAGCUAGUUGGUGAGGUAACGGCCCACCAAGGCAACGAUCGGUAGCCGGACUGAGAGGUUGAACGGCCACAUUGGGACUGAGACACGGCCCAGACUCC